GAUGAACGCUGGCGGCGUGCUUAACACAUGCAAGUAGAACGGAAAGGCCGCAGCUUGCUGGGGUGCUCGAGUGGCGAACGGGUGAGUAACACGUAGGUGAUCUGCCUUUCACUUCGGGAUAAGCUUGGGAAACUGGGUCUAAUACCGGAUAUUCACGGCACCGUGGUUGGAGUGGUGGAAAGGUUUUGCGGUUGGAGUUGAGCUUGCGGCCUGUCCGCUUGUUGGUGGGGUAAUGGCCAACGAAGGCGGCGGUGGGCAGCCGGCCUGCGAGGGUGAGCGGGCACAGUGGGACUGAGAUACGGCCCAGACUCCUACGGGGGGCAGCGGUGGGGGAUUGUGCGCAAUGGGCGGAAGCCGUAUGCAGCGACGCCGGGUGGGGGAUGAAGGCCUUCGGGUUGUAACCUCCGUGCGUCUGGGACGAAGAUUGUGUGACGGUACCUGGAUAAGAAGCACCGGCUAACUACGUG
rnacentral:rRNA from 1 species